UACGUUCCCGGGGCCUUGUACACACCGCCCGUCACACCACGAAAGUGGGUAACACCCGAAGCCGGUGGCCCAACCCUUGUGGAGGGAGCCGUCGAAGGUGGGAUCCGCGAUUGGGGUG
rnacentral:rRNA from 1 species